AGUCACUGACAUUAGAUACCCGGGUAGUCCAGGGUGUAAACGCUGCAGACUUGGUGUUGGGAACCCUUCGGGGGUGCUCAGUGCCGGAGAGAAGUUGUUAAGUCUGCUACUUGGGAAGUACGGUCGCAAGGCUGAAACUUAAAGGAAUUGGCGGGGAGCACCACAACGGGUGGAGCCUGCGGUUUAAUUGGACUCAACGCCGGAAAUCUCACCGGAUAGGACAGACAUAUGAUAGUCGGGCUGAAGACUCUACUUGAUGAUCUG
rnacentral:rRNA from 1 species